rnacentral:misc_RNA from 1 species
GGCUACAAGAGUAGGUAAAACAGGUGAUCUGUGAACAGUAAAGAAACUGGUAUAUCUAUGAAACAGUAUGUAGUGUGAACCUAUAUUUAUUUUAAUAACAUUAUUGGUGAUGCCAGGACUGUGGACUUGGAGAUGAAAACUCCAAUUAAUUUGUUCCUUUAGUCAGAGUUUUACAGGAUUCGGCUAAUUUACUAAAGAGGGAGAUUGCCAUUUGCUAUUGCAGGGAUUGCAUUAAAAAUUUCUU